rfam:Planktothricoides sp. SR001 contig_27, whole genome shotgun sequence.
CCAAUUAAAUAAAAGCAGCCGAAAAAAGCAGGAGCCAAAAGCUUAAUUGCCUGCCGAGGUUUAUGCGAGAAUUUCUAGGUAACGCGAUCCGGAGUUGAUUGUCCAGAUCGCACCAGAAUUAUGUGUAACCCUGGCAGCAUCGCUGGGGUUUUUGAUUUUGGAG